UUGAUAUUGUCUGCUUUUGUAGAUGAGAAUGGAAAUGAACACAUGGGGGUGGUUGCAUCAAUGUGGCCAAUAUAUGGUCUUUGCCAUUAAACAAGAGAAUUGAGGCUUGUGCCUAAAAGAUUGAGAGCAGAAGCUGUUGGAAUAGUUUGAGUAUCGAUCUAUAACUUUCUAUCUCAGAGCAAAUUUCUGCUUCCAAAGGGGAGGGAAAUGAAUGGACUAAUACUUUCAAUGAUCGGCAAAGCAUUGAAUAAUCAGAAAAGGAUUGGAAUCAUGAGAAGAAGCAUUAGAACUGAACCCUCUUGAUGUUGCUCGCAAAUAUUGGAUACAAUUUGUUGAACACUCAUUUUCUAAAGAAUUUUAAGG